rnacentral:rRNA from 1 species
UAGAGUUUGAUCCUGGCUCAGGAUGAACGCUAGCUACAGGCUUAACACAUGCAAGUCGAGGGGCAGCAUUUUAGUUUGCUUGCAAACUAAAGAUGGCGACCGGCGCACGGGUGAGUAACACGUAUCCAACCUGCCGAUAACUCGGGGAUAGCCUUUCGAAAGAAAGAUUAAUAUCCGAUGGUAUAUUAAAACCGCAUGGUUUUACUAUUAAAGAAUUUCGGUUAUCGAUGGGGAUGCGUUCCAUUAGUUUGUUGGCGGGGUAACGGCCCACCAAGACUACGAUGGAUAGGGGUUCUGAGAGGAAGGUCCCCCACAUUGGAACUGAGACACGGUCCAAACUCCUACGGGAGGCAGCAGUGAGGAAUAUUGGUCAAUGGACGAGAGUCUGAACCAGCCAAGUAGCGUGAAGGAUGACUGCCCUAUGGGUUGUAAACUUCUUUUAUAUGGGAAUAAAGUAUUCCACGUGUGGAAUUUUGUAUGUACCAUAUGAAUAAGGAUCGGCUAACUCCGUGCCAGCAGCCGCGGUAAUACGGAGGAUCCGAGCGUUAUCCGGAUUUAUUGGGUUUAAAGGGAGCGUAGGUGGAUUGUUAAGUCAGUUGUGAAAGUUUGCGGCUCAACCGUAAAAUUGCAGUUGAAACUGGCAGUCUUGAGUACAGUAGAGGUGGGCGGAAUUCGUGGUGUAGCGGUGAAAUGCUUAGAUAUCACGAAGAACUCCGAUUGCGAAGGCAGCUCACUAGACUGCAACUGACACUGAUGCUCGAAAGUGUGGGUAUCAAACAGGAUUAGAUACCCUGGUAGUCCACACAGUAAACGAUGAAUACUCGCUGUUUGCGAUAUACAGUAAGCGGCCAAGCGAAAGCAUUAAGUAUUCCACCUGGGGAGUACGCCGGCAACGGUGAAACUCAAAGGAAUUGACGGGGGCCCGCACAAGCGGAGGAACAUGUGGUUUAAUUCGAUGAUACGCGAGGAACCUUACCCGGGCUUAAAUUGCAUUUGAAUAAUCUGGAAACAGGUUAGCCGCAAGGCAAAUGUGAAGGUGCUGCAUGGUUGUCGUCAGCUCGUGCCGUGAGGUGUCGGCUUAAGUGCCAUAACGAGCGCAACCCUUAUCUUUAGUUACUAACAGGUCAUGCUGAGGACUCUAGAGAGACUGCCGUCGUAAGAUGUGAGGAAGGUGGGGAUGACGUCAAAUCAGCACGGCCCUUACGUCCGGGGCUACACACGUGUUACAAUGGGGGGUACAGAAGGCAGCUACCUGGCGACAGGAUGCUAAUCCCAAAAACCUCUCUCAGUUCGGAUCGAAGUCUGCAACCCGACUUCGUGAAGCUGGAUUCGCUAGUAAUCGCGCAUCAGCCAUGGCGCGGUGAAUACGUUCCCGGGCCUUGCACUCACCGCCCGUCA